rnacentral:rRNA from 1 species
GACGGGUGAGUAACACGUGGGAACGUGCCUUUUGGUUCGGAAUAACUCAGGGAAACUUGUGCUAAUACCGAAUGUGCCCUUCGGGGGAAAGAUUUAUCGCCAUUAGAGCGGCCCGCGUCUGAUUAGCUAGUUGGUAGUGUAACGGACUACCAAGGCGACGAUCAGUAGCUGGUCUGAGAGGAUGAUCAGCCACAUUGGGACUGAGACACGGCCCAAACUCCUACCGGAGGCAGCAGUGGGGAAUCUUGCGCAAUGGGCGAAAGCCUGACGCAGCCAUGCCGCGUGAAUGAUGAAGGUCUUAGGAUUGUAAAAUUCUUUCACCGGGGACGAUAAUGACGGUACCCGGAGAAGAAGCCCCGGCUAACUUCGUGCCAGCAGCCGCGGUAAUACGAAGGGGGCUAGCGUUGCUCGGAAUUACUGGGCGUAAAGGGAGCGUAGGCGGACAUUUAAGUCAGGGGUGAAAUCCCGGGGCUCAACCUC